rnacentral:ribozyme from 11 species
GAGAUCUCAAAAAGAGAAAUGACUGCAUGCUCAAAAAGGUGUUCUUUCGAAGAAUUUCCAUUCUUUCCUCCUUUCCUUUCUUUUUCUUUCAGCUGAGCGAGGCAUCCACGUCUCUACACAAACG